UAACAAGUGACGGACGAAGACGUUAGCAUCGGCGCGGUUAGCUUCGCAGCAGUUAGCUUCGCAGCAGUUAGCGCCCGGUUUCCUGUAAGGGGCGUUUGAGGAAGUCGGUGUCGGCCCAGCCCACAUGUCGAAGACUGCGCUUUCCAAGCAGUCGGUAGUUGUGGAAACGCGGAUGAUAUCGCUGCUCGGGACACAAUGUGAUGAAAUGACGCCGCCAUAAUGUUUGUCCUGCUCCUGUGUAUUCAACUCUUCGGCCAAGUGGCUGCACAACUAGACCCACCACAGAAUGUGACCCUAAUAACCUUGAACACCAAUUACACGCUGAGCUGGGACUGGCACCAGAAUCACACCGUGACUUUCACCACACAAUAUGUUGGGAAGCAUCAGCUGCUGCUCAAGAACAGGAGACCUAAGUGGUUGACGGCGUGUAAUGCGAUGCCACAUAGGUCAUGUGACCUCACAGGUUUCAAUCUUAACUACUGGUGCGUCUAUAUGCUUCGUGUCCGAGCCAGCAUGCAUGGACGUGACUCUGAGUGGGUGCUGAAGGAGUUUCUCCCUAAAAGGGACGCUGCUCUUGGUUCACCAACCAUCGUGAACCUUGUUCCUGCCAGAAGCGAUCUGGACGUUUUCAUUACGGACAGUGUGACCAGCAUCAGGAAGGUCAUUCCCACUCUGCAGUACCUGGUAGUUUACUGGGAGCGCUCGGCAGGCGCGCAGAACCAGACAUUGACCAGCAAUGCUAACAUUGUGACCUUGCCAAACCUAAAGGCCUGGACGUGGUACUGUGUAAGCGUCUGCUCCAGAGCUGAUGGCAAGAGCAGCAGCUUCACGUCGCCUCGGUGUAUGAAGACCCAAGGUAAUGUCCCGUGGUGGCAGAUCUUCCUCUACUUCCUAGCUGUUCUGGCCAUGUGCUCCUUGGGGCUGCUUUUACUUCACAGCUUCUUUCGAAUUUUUAAGACCAUCAAGGCAUCGUUCUACCCUUCAAACCAGCUGCCUCCUCAUCUCCAGAAAUACCUUAGUGACUCUCCUGGGUUUGACGUCCCUGGUCUCUUCAUCCCGGAUGCAGAAUCCGAACUACUUUGCGAGAGGGUGACAGUCUGUAAAAAUCCAACAUUCCUGAAAAUCUACAGCCCUCUGACUGAGGCCCUGCUGGUGUCCCCACCAGGCCUAGAAGAAGACAUCAGGUUCAUGAGUAAUAUCUGAAUUUGUCUGUGAUGUUGCCAUAGCCAAGCCAGAGAUGCAUUUCCGCACUGUACGCAGCGGAUACAGUCGUCAGGACAGCAGCUGCAGUGGGGACUCAGGAGUUUACUCAACCGGGGACAGCUCCAACCUGGAAAACCUUAAGGGAAAAGAAAGCAGUUGAACAAAGCUGAGGAAGUGUCUGACCUGAUCUGGAGAGAAUGGAUUAUGAAUAACAGGUGCAGGAGGCUGUUCCUGAGGUGCACCCACGACCCCUGCUACAACAAGCCUUUAGGUUUAUGGCUGGAUUGGUUCAGUGAUGGACAGAUAUGUUUAACAGAGCAUGAAUCAUGUUUAUUUUCCUUGUCUUCCUGUUUCAUUUAUGAUUCUUAAAGAAUCUAGGUUACAAUUUUUAAGUUCUGUUGGCACAAACAUUGUGUGUGAAUGGAACAAUUGAGCAAAUUGAGAAAUGUGGUUGUUUUUUCAAAUACAGUAUAUGAAGAAUUUUACAUUGAUGUCUUUUUAAUGUAUAUAGGACCUUUUCUCCAUCAUUGAGCCUUAAUGCUGGCGUUAAAGCUGUAGAGGCCACUUGUAUAAUAACCUGGCCUGUUAGAGUCUGCAUGUGCAGAGAUGGUUAAAACCAAGCAGGCCAGUUGUUCCAAAGUCAUUUUAUAUUUUGGCUUACUGUGGCAACAGGACAGUUUUCUGCUCCACCAUUGUUGUUGUUGCUAAGUGUACUCGCUCACUGGGCCGGCGCAUUGAUCACAGGCCUGGCUGAUGCUCAAAGGUCAAUUCUGGCUCAGGGGGUUUUGGCCAAAUGGGGUCCAACCAGCAAGAUUUAUUACAGAAAGGGAAAAACCAAAUAGUCAGAGACUUGUUCAGAAUUAACUUUAAAAAAGUCAAAUUUCUCAAAUACAAUUCCUAAUCCUAUUCAGAUUUAACCUUAUGUCUCGAUCCUAGAGUCUGUGGUACUAAACAAAAUCAAAUGGUUUGCUGAACUGCUUUCAUGUACUUCACAUCAAACACCUGUUCAUGUGUGGUAGCACAAACGCAAUGUUCUGAAUCGAUGAUGAAAGUGUGCAGCUGAUAUACUGUAGUAGCAAUUUUACUUUACCAAUCAUUGCUCCUUUUUGAGGUAAAACCUGUGAGUGAGUGAUAAAGUGGUGCCUCUCAAAUAAAUCUAACAUCUCUAACACAA